rnacentral:rRNA from 1 species
UUGACUCUGGCCUCAAAUCAGGUAGGACUACCCGCUGAACUUAAGCAUAUCAAUAAGCGGAGGAA